UACGUAGGCAGCGAGCGUUGUUCGGAGUUACUGGGCGUAAAGGGUGUGUAGGCGGUUGUUUAAGUUUGGUGUGAAAUCUCCCGGCUCAACUGGGAGGUGCGCCGAAUACUGAGCGACUAGAGUGCGGGAGAGGAAAGUGGAAUUCCUGGUGUAGCGGUGAAAUGCGUAGAUAUCAGGAGGAACACCGGUGGUGUAGACGGCUUUCUGGACCGUAACUGACGCUGAGACACGAAAGCGUGGGUAGCAAACAGG
rnacentral:rRNA from 1 species